UUGAAGGAAAUGGAGGCGGAGAUGGC
rnacentral:piRNA from 1 species